GAUGAACGCUGGCGGCGUGCCUAACACAUGCAAGUCGAACGGACAGACCCUGAGCUUGUUCCUUUCUCGAUAGCGGAAGACGGGAGAGUAACACGUGGAUCCCCUCCUUAUCAUUCUGGUAUCAUUUCGAAAAACGGGCUCUUAUCCCGUAUAAUCUCUUGAACCGCAUGGUUCAAUGGAAAAUGACGGCUUUGGUGUCACUACUAGGUGGUUACGCGCCGCAUUAGCUAGUUGGUACGGUCCCGGCUUACCAAGGGUACGAUGCGUAGCCGACCUGAGAGGGUGAUCGGCCACACUGGAACUGAGACACGGUCCAGACUCCUACGGGAGGCAGCAGUAGGGAAUGUUCCGCAAUGGGCGAAAGCCUGACGGAGCAACGCCGCGUGAGUGAUGAAGGUCUUCGGAUCGUAAAGCUCUGUUAUUAGGGAAGAACAAAUGUGGAAGGAACUAUGCACGUCGUGACGGUACCUAAUCAGAAAGCCACGGCUAACUACGUG
rnacentral:rRNA from 1 species